AUUGAACGCUGGCGGCAGGCCUAACACAUGCAAGUCGAACGGAGUGGCGGACGGGUGAGUAAUGUCUGGGAAUCUGCCUGGUAGUGGGGGAUAACGUCCGGAAACGGGCGCUAAUACCGCAUACUAUCAGAUGAGCCUAGGUCGGAUUAGCUAGUUGGGGGGGUAAAGGCCUACCAAGGCGACGAUCCGUAACUGGUCUGAGAGGCUGAUCAGUCACACUGGAACUGAGACACGGUCCAGGCUCGUACGGGAGGCAUGAGUGGGGAAUAGUGGAGAAUGGGCGAAAGCCUGAUCCAGACAUGCCGCGUGGGUGAAGAAGGUCUUCGGAGUGUAAAGCACUUGAAGUUGGGGGGCGUAACCAACAGAAUAAGCACCGGCUAACUUCGUGCCAGCAGCCGCGGUAAUUC
rnacentral:rRNA from 1 species